rnacentral:rRNA from 1 species
UACGAAGGGUCCAAGCGUUGUUCGGAAUCAUUGGGCGUAAAGCGAGCGCAGGCGGACCAGUAAGUCAGAUGUGAAAUCUCGAAGCUCAACUUCGAAACUGCGUCUGAAACUACUAGUCUAGAAUGUCGGAGGGGAUAGGGGAAUUUCACGUGUAGGGGUAAAAUCCGUAGAGAUGUGAAGGAACACCGGAGGCGAAGGCGCCUAUCUGGACGAGUAUUGACGCUGAGGCGCGAAAGCGUGGGGAUCAAACAGG